rnacentral:rRNA from 1 species
UGGGGAAUCUUGGACAAUGGGGGCAACCCUGAUCCAGCCAUGCCGCGUGGGUGAUGAAGGCCUUAGGGUCGUAAAGCCCUUUCGCCGGGGAAGAUAAUGACGGUACCCGGUAAAGAAGCCCCGGCUAACUCCGUGCCAGCAGCCGCGGUAAUACGGAGGGGGCUAGCGUUGUUCGGAAUGACUGGGCGUAAAGCGCGCGUAGGCGGAUCGGAAAGUUGGGGGUGAAAUCCCGGGGGCUCAACCUCGGAAUGGCCUUCAAGACUCCCGGUCUUGAGUUCGAGAGAGGUGAGUGGAAUUCCGAGUGUAGAGGUGAAAUUCGUAGAUAUUCGGAGGAACACCAGUGGCGAAGGCGGCUCACUGGCUCGACACUGACGCUGAGGUGCGGAAGCGUGGGGAGCAAACAGGAUUAGAUACCCUGGUAGUCCACGCCGUAAAACGAUGAAUGCCAGACGUCGGGGGGCUUGCCCUUCGGUGUCACACCUAACGGAUUAAGGCAUUCCGCCUGGGGAGUACGGUCGCAAGAUUAAAACUCAAAUGAAUUGACGGGGUCAUAGCUG